AAACCUAUGGGAGGAUGUUUCAAAGAAAUUUGUCAUGCCAAGGGAUGAAACCCAUACCCUCAAUGUGAAGAAGGUCGCUUUGAAAUCUAUGAGCCAUGCAUGGAAGGAUUUCAAGUGGAAACUAAAUAUAAAUUAUGUCAAGAAGGACAAAACUCCAUUUGAGGACUAUCCAGAACUCAAGAAAGAGUGGUGGCCAGACUUUGUGGAGUGGGUUACCUCUGAUGAGUAUAUUGCUCUAGGAGAAAAGGGCAAGCAAAGCCAAAGCAUGAAUAAGUUCCGUCAAAAACUAGGUCGGCGAAGCUAUACUGUACAAAAGAGAAAAUGGGCAAAGGAAGAUGCACAAGCAUUAACCGAGGGUAAAUCUAUUCCAUUUCAAGACAUGCCAGAUGGUCGUCAUAAGGAUUGGGCAAGGGCGAGGAAUCCUUCUGGCGAUGUGAACAUAACAGAGUCGCAUCCAAUCAUAAAGAAAAUUGUAGAUCUAAAUGAAAAGUCAGUAGCUGGUACCUUUACACCAUUGGAUAAUAUGGACAUACUUGCAACAGCAAUAGGGAGUAAUCAUCCAGGGAGGACAACAGGGGUGAGUGCUUAUGUGGGUUUAGGGAUGGGU
rnacentral:misc_RNA from 1 species